rnacentral:rRNA from 1 species
UACGUAGGGUGCAGGCGUUAAUCGGAAUUACUGGGCGUAAAGCGUGCGCAGGCGGUCUUUUAAGUCAGAUGUGAAAUCCCCGGGCUUAACCUGGGAACUGCGUUUGAAACUGGAAGGCUAGAGUGUGGCAGAGGGGGGUGGAAUUCCACGUGUAGCAGUGAAAUGCGUAGAGAUGUGGAGGAAUACCGGUGGCGAAGGCGGCUCCUGGCUUAAUACUGACGCUGAGGUGCGAAAGCGUGGGGAUCAAACAGG